rnacentral:rRNA from 1 species
AUUGAACGCUGGCGGCAGGCCUAACACAUGCAAGUCGAGCGGAGCGGCGGACGGGUGAGUAAUGCCUAGGAAUCUGCCUGGUAGUGGGGGAUAACGUCCGGAAACGGGCGCUAAUACCGCAUACUAUCAGAUGAGCCUAGGUCCGCUUGGCUAGUUGGUGGGGUAAAGGCCUACACAGGCGACGAUCCGUAACUGGUCCGAGAGGAUGAUCAGUCACACUGGAUCAGAGACACGGUCCAUACUCCUAGGGAAGGAGCCUGAGGGGAAUAUGUGACAAUGGUCGAAAUCCUAAUCCAGCGAUGCCAGGUGAGUGAAGAAGGUAUGUGGAUUGUAAAGCACAUUGUGAUGAGAGGCGGUACCAACAGAAGAAGCACCGGCUAACUUCGUGCCAGCAGCCGCGAUAAUAC